rnacentral:lncRNA from 1 species
CACAGUAUAGAGUACAUGCACUAAGGUCAUCCUCUCCUUUCCUUGUUUCCUUUCACCUACCAUGGUCAAGAGAAAGGUUUUUGAAUCAAUUAUGCUUAAUCCUUUAUGUUAGUUUUAAUGCAACCCCUAGGAGUGACUUGCCCCUUUUCUCUUCUCUAUUUCUUUUUAUUUUCAUCAGCACUUAUUCUUAUCCUUGCCUGAAAAAGUCACUAACCUUUUUACGCGAUUGUGUACAUGGGUGAUACACCCCCGGUUACUCAGUUAGUCACUUGUUCAAGUGGCUACUAGCUCUGUUCAUAGUAUAGACCAUCGAAACUUAUUUGCUUGAAAAAGUUACUGACCUUUUUACGCGAUUGUGUACAUGGGUGAUACACCCCCGGUUACUUAGUCAGUUACUUCUCCAAGUGGCUAUUAGGCUCAGUUCAUAGUCUUAGACCAUUGGAACAAGUUUGUGAUUAGUGCUUUGUGCUGGUUUUUCAUGAUAAUUUGGGCAAAUAAGCUCAUAGGGAGUUACACUAACUUUGUGUUUGCAUGUAUUUGUAUUUUUAUUUCCCUUGACCUUAGCAAAUUUAAGGAUUCAAUUCAAGAGAAAACUCCCUAAGUGAAGGUAACAUACUGUGAAUGAUUCAAUUUAGGCUUAAAGGGGUGGCAAAUCAAUGGGGUCAUGAGAUAAGGGCACUCUUUCAACUUUGUUAUCUAUGUUGAGUAGAGCAAUUAGCUACAAAAUUCUGUGUGUGUGAGCUAGGAGUGUGAAAAAAAAUUCUGGUGUGUGCAAAAAGGGGUGAGAACAAUGCAAAAAGAAACAAAAAGAAACAACAAGAAGCAAAAAGAUGGUGUAAUUAAUGAAUAAAUACUCUCCAGUACCCCCACACCUAUCCCACAUAUUGUCCUCAAUGUGUGAAUAAACAUAUAGAAAAAAUUAAGGAGAAAAGGGAAAG